rnacentral:rRNA from 1 species
CGCGUAGGCGGGCCAAUCAGUCUGGUGUGAAAGCCCGGGGCUCAACCCCGGAAGUGCACUGGAAACUGUUGGUCUUGAGUUCGGGAGAGGAAGGCAGAAUUCCCGGUGUAGGAGUAGAAAUCCGUAGAGAUCGGGAGGAAAAUCAGUGGCGAAGGCGGCCUUCUGGAACGAAACUGACGCUGAGGCGCGAAAGCGUGGGAGCAAACGA